UAAUAAAAGUAUCAAUUAUACGGUCUCAAACUUCUGAACGGUAGUGUAUGAAUGUUCCAGUUCUUGCUGUUUUCACUGUCAUUAUCACUGCUCGCUUCAGUGUGUGUCUCUGAUUGGUCAAUAGGCAGCGGUGGGUGUGGCCCAGAUAAUCAGAGCGUCAGUGACAUCAUUAACCUCGAGAUGUUGCAACUUGGAUCCAAACUGAAAUCAAGUAACACACAGUCAGGCUGGUCCUGUCCUUCCUGUACAUUCAUAAAUACGUCUACGAGACCCGGCUGUGAAAUCUGCAGCACAGAUCGACCCAAUCCUCCCAAUCACAGCAGCGUUCAGCAGGAAAAAGCAAGAAGAGCGAACCAGUGAAACUCAGC